rnacentral:rRNA from 1 species
AGAGUUUGAUCCUGGCUCAGGACGAACGCUGGCGGCGUGCCUAACACAUGCAAGUCGAACGAAGCAUAGUAAUAUGCUUAGUGGCGGACGGGUGAGUAACGCGUGAACAAUCUGCCCUGUACAGAGGAAUAGCCUCGGGAAACCGGGAUUAAAACCGCAUGACACUUUUCUUUCGCAUGAAGGAGAAGUCAAAUUGAUUAAGAGGUAUGGGAUGAGUUCGCGUCUGAUUAGCUAGUUGGUGAGGUAAUGGCUCACCAAGGCGACGAUCAGUAGCCGGCCUGAGAGGGUGAACGGCCACACUGGGACUGAGACACGGUCCAGACUCCUACGGGAGGCAGCAGUGGGGAAUAUUGCACAAUGGAGGAAACUCUGAUGCAGCGACGCCGCGUGAGUGAAGAAGGUCUUCGGAUCGUAAAACUCUGUCCUUGGUGAAGAUAAUGACGGUAGCCAAGGAGGAAGCCCCGGCUAACUACGUGCCAGCAGCCGCGGUAAUACGUAGGGGGCGAGCGUUGUCCGGAUUUACUGGGCGUAAAGGGUGAGUAGGCGGUUGCAUAUGUCAGAUGUAAAAGGCACAGGCUUAACUUGUGUUAGCAUUUGAAACUGUGCGACUUGAGUGCAGGAGAGGCAAGUGGAAUUCCUAGUGUAGCGGUGAAAUGCGUAGAUAUUAGGAGGAACACCAGUGGCGAAGGCGACUUACUGGACUGUAACUGACGCUGAGUCACGAAAGCGUGGGUAGCAAACAGGAUUAGAUACCCUGGUAGUCCACGCUGUAAACGAUGAGUGCUAGGUGUUGGCCAGCGAUGGUCAGUGCCGCAGUUAACACAUUAAGCACUCCGCCUGGGGAGUACGGUCGCAAGACUGAAACUCAAAGGAAUUGACGGGGACCCGCACAAGCAGCGGAGCAUGUGGUUUAAUUCGAAGCAACGCGAAGAACCUUACCAAGGCUUGACAUCCCCUUGACCGGCACAGAGAUGUGCCCUCUCCUUCGGGAGUAAGGGUGACAGGUGGUGCAUGGUUGUCGUCAGCUCGUGUCGUGAGAUGUUGGGUUAAGUCCCGCAACGAGCGCAACCCUUAUCCUUAGUUGCCAGCAAGUUAAGUUGGGCACUCUAGGGAGACUGCCGAUGAUAAAUCGGAGGAAGGUGGGGAUGACGUCAAAUCAUCAUGCCCCUUAUGUCUUGGGCUACACACGUGCUACAAUGGUCGGUACAACGGGAAGCGAAAGAGUGAUCUGGAGCAAAUCCCAAUAAACCGAUCUCAGUUCGGAUUGUAGGCUGCAACUCGCCUACAUGAAGUCGGAGUUGCUAGUAAUCGCGAAUCAGAACGUCGCGGUGAAUGCGUUCCCGGGUCUUGCACACACCGCC